AUCAUUUCUCAGCCUUUUGACUAAGAUCAAGUAUAGUAUCUGUUCUUAUCAGCUUAAAAAAGGCUUACCAAGGACGAAAUUUAAAAAAUUUUUUUUAUUCAUUUAUUUAUUUGAAAUGCGUAGUAACGGGUCGUAGAAGACAGAGAGAGAGAGAGAGCUCUUCCAUCCACUGGCUCACUCCCC
ensembl:snRNA U2 U2 spliceosomal RNA